UUAAACUAAAGAGUUUGAUCCUGGCUCAGAUUGAACGCUGGCGGCAUGCCUUACACAUGCAAGUCGAACGGCAGCACGGAGCUUGCUCUGGUGGCGAGUGGCGAACGGGUGAGUAAUAUAUCGGAACGUACCCUGGAGUGGGGGAUAACGUAGCGAAAGUUACGCUAAUACCGCAUACGAUCUAAGGAUGAAAGUGG
rnacentral:rRNA from 1 species